rnacentral:rRNA from 1 species
GACGAACGCUGGCGGCGUGCUUAACACAUGCAAGUCGAACGGAAAGGCCCUGCUUUUGUGGGGUGCUCGAGUGGCGAACGGGUGAGUAACACGUGAGUAACCUGCCCUUGACUUUGGGAUAACUUCAGGAAACUGGGGCUCAUACCGGAUAGGAGCUCCUGCUGCAUGGUGGGGGUUGGAAAGUUUCGGCGGUUGGGGCUGGACUCGCUGCUUAUCCGCUUGUUGGUGGGGUAGUGGCUUACCAAGGCUUUGACGGGUAGCCGGCCUGAGAGGGUGACCGGCCACAUUGGGACUGAGAGACGGCCCAGACUCCUACGGGAGGCAGCAGUGGGGAAUAUUGCACAAUGGGCGGAAGCCUGAUGCAGCAACGCCGCGUGCGGGAUGACGGCCUUCGGGUUGUAAACCGCUUUCGCCGGUGACGAAGCGUGAGUGACGGUAAUGGGUAAAGAAGCACCGGCUAACUACGUG